UUUCCGGUUGAUCCUGCCGGACCUGACUGCUAUCGGAUUGAUACUAAGCCAUGCGAGUCAUUGUAGCAAUACAAGGCAGACGGCUCAGUAACGCGUAGUCAACCUAACCUAUGGACGGGAAUAACCUCGGGAAACUGAGAAUAAUGCCCGAUAGAACAUUAUGCCUGGAAUGGUUUAUGUUCCAAAUGAUUUAUCGCCGUAGGAUGGGACUGCGGCCUAUCAGUUUGUUGGUGAGGUAAUGGCCCACCAAGACUAUUACAGGUACGGGCUCUGAGAGGAGUAGCCCGGAGAUGGGUACUGAGACACGGACCCAGGCCCUAUGGGGCGCAGCAGGCGAGAAAACUUUGCAAUGUGCGAAAGCACGACAAGGUUAAUCCGAGUGGUUUCUGCUAAAGGAACCUUUUGUCGGUCCUAAAAACACCGAUGAAUAAGGGGUGGGCAAGUUCUGGUGUCAGCCGCCGCGGUAAAACCAGCACCUCAAGUUGUCAGGAUGAUUAUUGGGCCUAAAGCAUCCGUAGCCGGCUCUGUUAGUUUUCGGUUAAAUCUGUACGCUCAACGUACAGGCUGCCGGGAAUACUGCAGAGCUAGGGAGUGGGAGAGGUAGACGGUACUCGGUAGGAAGGGGUAAAAUCCUUUGAUCUAUUGAUGACCACCUGUGGCGAAGGCGGUCUACCAGGACACGUCCGACGGUGAGGGAUGAAAGCUGGGGGAGCAAACCGGAUUAGAUACCCGGGUAGUCCCAGCUGUAAACUAUGCAAACUCAGUGAUGCAUUGGCUUGUGGCCAAUGCAGUGCUGCAGGGAAGCCGUUAAGUUUGCCGCCUGGGAAGUACGUACGCAAGUAUGAAACUUAAAGGAAUUGGCGGGGGAGCACCACAAGGGGUGAAGCCUGCGGUUCAAUUGGAUUCAACGCCGGAA
rnacentral:rRNA from 1 species